rfam:Ficedula albicollis isolate OC2 chromosome 24, whole genome shotgun sequence.
AGCCCAGUCGGUGGAGCAUGAGACUCUUAAUCUCAGGGUUGUGGGUUCGUGCCCCAC